rnacentral:rRNA from 1 species
UGUGGAAUCUUGCACAAUGGGGGCAACCCUGAUGCAGCGACGCCGCGUGAGCGAUGAAGCCCUUCGGGGCGUAAAGCUCUUUCGACCGGAACGAUAAUGACGGUACCGGGAGAAGAAGCUGCGGCUAACAACGUGCCAGCAGCCGCGGUAAUACGUAGGCAGCAAGCGUUGUUCGGAGUUACUGGGCGUAAAGAGUGCGUAGGCGGUUUUCUAAGUUCGGUGUGAAAUCUCCCGGCUUAACUGGGAGGGUGCGCCGAAGACUGGGAAGCUGGAGUGUGGGAAAGGCAGGCGGAAUUCCUGGUGUAGCGGUGAAAUGCGUAGAUAUCAGGAGGAACACCGGCGGUGUAGACGGCUUGCUAGACCAUAACUGACGCUGAGGCACGAAAGCGUGGGUAGCAAACA